UAACCGCCUCAUUCAACCUAGGGUUUCUAUAAUUCUCUCAUUCUCAACCACCUCUCAUCCUCUGUUCUCCCUCUGGCGAUCGAUGGCGAUUCAAGAUAUGCCUUUCUCAGUGACACCAGAUCUCUCUAUACGACGGCACAUCGAAUGAGUUUCACCUCUCAAAAUCUUCAGUUUCAGUGGAUUCGCUCAGAUCUAGGGUUUAUCCGUUCUGAGUUCCAUCUGUUGUUUGAUCCUGAGAACUGUUUUAAUUGCGAUUUUUGUUGACUGAAACCCUAAUUUGUUCAUCGGAGGAAAGCAUACUCCAUCUCUCUCAUUGCUGAAAAAUUUGGAGAUGAUGAAUUUCGAGAUGAUGAAUCCGUAUACAAAAUCAGUUGGAUGGAAAUGUUAAAUAUGUUCCUUCUUCACAGAGUCAGUCCUCUCGAAAUCGUGAGUCCUCUCGAAAUCGUGAUUUUGUUCCUUCUUCCAGCUUUUUUUCCAUUAAUCGCCGGUUCCAUUUGAAUCCUAAAACUUCUGUUUUUUUUGGGAUACGGCGUAAGGCGGCGAUAGAGGUGGAGUUCUUUAUUCGAUCUCAACAUUUAUGUUCAAUCUUUCUAUGGGCUUGGGUGUUUUCGGUCCAGAGUUUAGGGUUUAUUUUUCCCUUUUAUCAUUUCAAUAUGUUGAUCUGAUUAUCUUUUUUUUAUUAUGUAUUGAUAUGGAAGCAUGUGUUUCGUUAUAUGAUCGCCACUGAAGGGGUGAAGGGUUUGUGACUGCAGGAACCCAAUUUUUUCGUGAAUGAAUUUGUAAUGAUACAUAUUAAUAUUAGUUAUCUGAUUGGAUCGUAAAUGAUCAAGUUUAGAUUUAUAUGGUUUAGGAUAACUGAAUAAGGAUCAAGUUUAUUGAAACUUUAUACGUGAAUUGCUGUUGGUUGGUAUGAUUAAGUUAUAUGAAUUGAAAUUCGCUCUCGAAUCAUUCUGGGAUGGCAAGAGCAGUGCCAAGGAUCUGCAGACUAUUGCUGCUGAUCUCAGAUCAUCCAUCUGGAAACUAAAGCUCUUGGAGUUGAUAUUGUCCCAGUGAGUGUUUCUUGAUCUCAGAUUAAAUGUUCUUUUUUUAGUUAUAGUUUGCAGUAAUGGUUUUAUUCAAAAUUAUAUUUAUCAUUGAUAAUAUUUGUAUUUUUUUAAUGUCAAAUGGGUCGAAUGAAAAUGUUUGCUAAGAGAGGUAGGUUAAAUGAGUUAAGGUAGUUAAAAUCUAUAUUUUUGGUUGUCUCAAACAGGUCAAAUUAAAAAUGGCUUUCUUAUAACAUGAGGUUGAAGCUGGAAAAGAAUUAUCAAAAGGUUUAGUGGAAGGCAUUGAGCAGAAACCAAAAAAAGGUUGCAAAGAGCAAAGGUGAAGGUUCCAAGAAGAAGAGAAAAGAAAAGGAAAUUGAUGUUAGUAAGGUCAUAUCUUUUUUAAGGAAAAUAAAGAACAAGAUAGUGACGCAAAGGUCCAGUACGAGAUCUUUAGGACUUAGUUGUGACUUUGAUGACGGGAAAGAUUGUUGGGGUUUUGAUUUAGAAUCUGAUGUAGAUCUAGAAAACGGUGUUGCUGAUGAUACAGGUAUAUACAUGUAUGAUUCAGUAAUCGUAUCAAUAUGGCUUUUUAGAUAUUGUGUGAUAAAAUUCAAAUGUGAAGUUGUCCAAAGAAACAGAAUUCACAUUUGGGUGAAUGGUAUAUUAACAACACAUUCACUUUAUAGGAAGUCAACCAAUAGAAGGAAAAGAACAUUAUAGAGGAGCAUUAAAGAAUAGAAGGAAGUAUAAAACCCUUAGUUAAUGAAGCAUACGCAUUACAUUUAUCUGGGUUGUGGUUAUUGAAGGAUGAUUAUCAUGUUCUUGAAAGAUUUUAAUAUGUUAUGUUUAGUAUAUGAGUUCCUGAACCACUCAUAACACGAGUUGUACUGUACUGCAUCAAAGUAGUAAAUGACUGUUCAAA